rnacentral:lncRNA from 1 species
CCAAGUUCUAAUUCUCCUUUUAUCGUACUACACAAUGGAAAUAUUUGCCUCUUUUAAGUACUUCAGCAGUUCCUGCAAAUUUAGAGAAGCCAUCAACAUGAUCACAUGAUCACUAUUAAUCAUUCUGAACUGUGUAUUUAAGAAAGUCCUACUAUUUCCUUUUCCCAUUAACACUUUGUUGGCCUUGUCAGUAUUCUACUGCAUAUAUAGAAAAGAAUCAGAAGACAUUGUUCUAGAAGCAUAAGGUCACUCAUUGAUUUGUUCCUAACAUUGGCUAAUUUUUAUAUAACCCUGGAUGUAGAAGAUUUAACAACCUAAGACACAUUAUUUACUGUAACUUUAAGGUUUCUCAGAAACUACUUGAGAUUCAAAAGUGUAAGAAGGUCUUCUACGUGAAAGCAUGAUGUUGACUUUGACCUUGAGAAAUGCCAUACCAUUGCUUCAUACCUCCCAGCCCAGUGCUUGCUUCUUUUUUCCUGUAACACAAUCACUGUCACCCAUAUAGCAGCUAGACUGUGAUUAACAGAAAGAUUCACAGCUGCAUAACUACAAGCAAAUUGGGACGAGCAGAGAUGAAUUGCCAUUUAUUGAGUACUUCCUGAAUCCCAGAUGUGUUAAAAGUAAUUUUCUGUAAUCUUUACAAUAAUCCUGUAAAGCAGCUUUUUCUCCCCAUUAUACAGCAGUAGAGACUGAGACUCAGAGAAGUUUAAAAACUAGUUUGAUGUCGUACAAGGGGUGAAACUGACCAUAUUCAAACCUAGACCUUUAUGACAAGGGACCUUUCUAGACCUUUCUGCCUUGCUCUAUCAAUCAAUGCUGCCAACCAUCUGGAGAUUUGGAUGCAUUAUGAAGUCAGAAUUGUUCACUUUGCCACUGGAUGUUUGGAGUUGCAGAGACAAAGCCUCCAUUAUUUAUUAUCAUGGGCCAUUCCUUGUAGAACUGCCAAAGCCAUAAACUUUAAUCUCUUGUUUGGGGAAACAGAAAUUUUACCUCUCCAACAGGAGCCUGUGUCUCCUCUUCCCUUACAUCUUGGGGGUUUUCUGGACACACAGUGUCCACACAGUGCAAAAGGACCCAAACUGAGAUCUCAGGUAAGUUGGAAUAGGUUGGGUAGGAUUUAG